rnacentral:rRNA from 1 species
AACGAACGCUGGCGGCAUGCCUAACACAUGCAAGUCGAACGAAACCUUCGUGUUUAUUGGCGCUCGUCUACGUACCAACGGGGAACUUACACUUAGGUUCGGUGUAACUCACCUUAAGAUAUGCUAAUACCGGAUAAUCUCUUCGGACCAAAGAUUUAUCGCCUUUGGGUGGGCGCGCGUUGGUUUAGCUGGUUGGUAGGGUACACGCCUACUAAGAGGACGUUCCAUAGCUGGUGUGUGAGGAUGAUCAGCCACACUGGGACUGAGACACGGCCCAGACUCGGACGGGAGGCAGCAGUGGGGAAUAUUGGAGAAUGGGCGAAAGCCUGAUCCAGCAAUGCCGCGUGAGUGAUGAAGGCCUUAGGGUUGUAAAGCUCUUUUACCCGGGAUGAUAAUGACAGUACCGGGAGAAUAAGCUCCGGCUAACUCCGUG